UGUGAACUCGAAGAGUAGGGCGGGACACGUGGUAUCCUGUCUGAAUAUGGGGGGACCAUCCUCCAAGGCUAAAUACUCCUGACUGACCGAUAGUGAACCAGUACCGUGAGGGAAAGGCGAAAAGAACCCCGGCGAGGGGAGUGAAAAAGAACCUGAAACCGUGUACGUACAAGCAGUGGGAGCACCUUCGGGUGUGACUGCGUACCUUUUGUAUAAUGGGUCAGCGACUUAUAUUCUGUAGCAAGGUUAACCGUAUAGGGGAGCCGCAGGGAAACCGAGUCUUAACUGGGCGUUAAGUUGCAGGGUAUAGACCCGAAACCCGGUGAUCUAGCCAUGGGCAGGUUGAAGGUUGGGUAACACUAACUGGAGGACCGAACCGACUAAUGUUGAAAAAUUAGCGGAUGACUUGUGGCUGGGGGUGAAAGGCCAAUCAAACCGGGAGAUAGCUGGUUCUCCCCGAAAGCUAUUUAGGUAGCGCCUCGUGAAUUCAUCUUCGGGGGUAGAGCACUGUUUCGGCUAGGGGGUCAUCCCGACUUACCAACCCGAUGCAAACUACGAAUACCGAAGAAUGUUAUCACGGGAGACACACGGCGGGUGCUAACGUCCGUCGUGAAGAGGGAAACAACCCAGACCGCCAGCUAAGGUCCCAAAGUCAUGGUUAAGUGGGAAACGAUGUGGGAAGGCACAGACAGCCAGGAUGUUGGCUUAGAAGCAGCCAUCAUUUAAAGAAAGCGUAAUAGCUCACUGGUCGAGUCGGCCUGCGCGGAAGAUGUAACGGGGCUAAACCAUGCACCGAAGCUGCGGCAGCGACACUAUGUGUUGUUGGGUAGGGGAGCGUUCUGUAAGCCUGCGAAGGUGUGCUGUGAGGCAUGCUGGAGGUAUCAGAAGUGCGAAUGCUGACAUAAGUAACGAUAAAGCGGGUGAAAAGCCCGCUCGCCGGAAGACCAAGGGUUCCUGUCCAACGUUAAUCGGGGCAGGGUGAGUCGACCCCUAAGGCGAGGCCGAAAGGCGUAGUCGAUGGGAAACAGGUUAAUAUUCCUGUACUUGGUGUUACUGCGAAGGGGGGACGGAGAAGGCUAUGUUAGCCGGGCGACGGUUGUCCCGGUUUAAGCAUGUAGGCUGGUUGUCCAGGCAAAUCCGGAUAAUCAAGGCUGAGGUGUGAUGACGAGGCACUACGGUGCUGAAGUAACAAAUGCCCUGCUUCCAGGAAAAGCCUCUAAGCAUCAGGUAACAUCAAAUCGUACCCCAAACCGACACAGGUGGUCAGGUAGAGAAUACCAAGGCGCUUGAGAGAACUCGGGUGAAGGAACUAGGCAAAAUGGUGCCGUAACUUCGGGAGAAGGCACGCUGGUGUGUAGGUGAAGUCCCUGCGGAUGGAGCUGAGACCAGUCGAAGAUACCAGCUGGCUGCAACUGUUUAUUAAAAACACAGCACUGUGCAAACACGAAAGUGGACGUAUACGGUGUGACGCCUGCCCGGUGCCGGAAGGUUAAUUGAUGGGGUUAUCCGUAAGGAGAAGCUCUUGAUCGAAGCCCCGGUAAACGGCGGCCGUAACUAUAACGGUCCUAAGGUAGCGAAAUUCCUUGUCGGGUAAGUUCCGACCUGCACGAAUGGCGUAAUGAUGGCCAGGCUGUCUCCACCCGAGACUCAGUGAAAUUGAACUCGCUGUGAAGAUGCAGUGUACCCGCGGCAAGACGGAAAGACCCCGUGAACCUUUACUAUAGCUUGACACUGAACAUUGAGCCUUGAUGUGUAGGAUAGGUGGGAGGCUUUGAAGCGUGGACGCCAGUCUGCGUGGAGCCAACCUUGAAAUACCACCCUUUAAUGUUUGAUGUUCUAACGUUGGCCCCU
rnacentral:rRNA from 1 species